rnacentral:rRNA from 1 species
CCGGAGCUUGCUCCACCGGAAAAAGAGGAGUGGCGAACGGGUGAGUAACACGUGGGUAACCUGCCCAUCAGAAGGGGAUAACACUUGGAAACAGGUGCUAAUACCGUAUAACAAUCGAAACCGCAUGGUUUUGAUUUGAAAGGCGCUUUCGGGUGUCGCUGAUGGAUGGACCCGCGGUGCAUUAGCUAGUUGGUGAGGUAACGGCUCACCAAGGCGACGAUGCAUAGCCGACCUGAGAGGGUGAUCGGCCACAUUGGGACUGAGACACGGCCCAAACUCCUACGGGAGGCAGCAGUAGGGAAUCUUCGGCAAUGGACGAAAGUCUGACCGAGCAACGCCGCGUGAGUGAAGAAGGUUUUCGGAUCGUAAAACUCUGUUGUUAGAGAAGAACAAGGAUGAGAGUAACUGUUCAUCCCUUGACGGUAUCUAACCAGAAAGCCACGGCUAACUACGUGCCAGCAGCCGCGGUAAUACGUAGGUGGCAAGCGUUGUCCGGAUUUAUUGGGCGUAAAGCGAGCGCAGGCGGUUUCUUAAGUCUGAUGUGAAAGCCCCCGGCUCAACCGGGGAGGGUCAUUGGAAACUGGGAGACUUGAGUGCAGAAGAGGAGAGUGGAAUUCCAUGUGUAGCGGUGAAAUGCGUAGAUAUAUGGAGGAACACCAGUGGCGAAGGCGGCUCUCUGGUCUGUAACUGACGCUGAGGCUCGAAAGCGUGGGGGAGCAAACAGGAUUAGAUACCCUGGUAGUCCACGCCGUAAACGAUGAGUGCUAAGUGUUGGAGGGUUUCCGCCCUUCAGUGCUGCAGCUAACGC